rnacentral:rRNA from 1 species
UACAGAGGGUGCGAGCGUUAAUCGGAAUUACUGGGCGUAAAGGGCGCGUAGGCGGUGUCAUGUGAGUGAUGUGAAAGCCCUGGGCUUAACCUAGGAAGAGCAUCGCUAACUAUGAAACUAGAGUAUAUGAGAGGGUGGCGGAAUUUCCGGCGUAGCGGUGAAAUGCGUAGAGAUCGGAAGGAACAUCGAUGGCGAAGGCAGCCACCUGGCAUAAUACUGACGCUGAGGCGCGAAAGCGUGGGGAGCGAACAGG